AUUGAACGCUGGCGGCAGGCCUAACACAUGCAAGUCGAGCGGGGUUUUCGGACCUAGCGGCGGACGGGUGAGUAAUGCGUAGGAAGCUACCCGAUAGAGGGGGAUACCAGUUGGAAACGACUGUUAAUACCGCAUAAUGUCUACGGACCAAAGUGUGGGACCUUCGGGCCACAUGCUAUCGGAUGCGCCUACGUGGGAUUAGCUAGUUGGUGAGUUAAUGGCUCACCAAGGCGACGAUCCCUAGCUGGUUUGAGAGGAUGAUCAGCCACACUGGAACUGAGACACGGUCCAGACUCCUACGGGAGGCAGCAGUGGGGAAUAUUGGACAAUGGUCGCAAGCCUGAUCCAGCCAUUCCGCGUGUGUGAAGAAGGCCUUCGGGUUGUAAAGCACUUUCAGCGAGGAGGAAGGGUGGUGUGUUAAUAGCACAUCAUUUUGACGUUACUCGCAGAAGAAGCACCGGCUAACUCUGUGCCAGCCGCCGCAGUAAUAC
rnacentral:rRNA from 1 species